CCUACGGGCGGCAGCAGUGAGGAAUAUUGGUCAAUGGACGAGAGUCUGAACCAGCCAAGUAGCGUGAAGGAUGACUGCCCUAUGGGUUGUAAACUUCUUUUAUAAAGGAAUAAAACGAGGCACGUGUGCCUCUUUGCAUGUACUUUAUGAAUAAGGAUCGGCUAACUCCGUGCCAGCAGCCGCGGUAAUACGGAGGAUCCGAGCGUUAUCCGGAUUUAUUGGGUGUAAAGGGAGCGUAGAUGGGUUGUUAAGUCAGUUGUGAAAGUUUGCGGCUCAACCGUAAAAUUGCAAUUGAUACUGGCAGUCUUGAGUACAGUUGAGGUAGGCGGAAUUCGUGGUGUAGCGGUGAAAUGCUUAGAUAUCACGAAGAACCCUGAUUGCGAAGGCAGCUUACUAAACUGUGACUGACAUUGAGGCUCGAAGGUGUGGGUAUCAAACGGGAUUAGAUACCCCGGUAGUC
rnacentral:rRNA from 1 species